rnacentral:rRNA from 1 species
AGUCAUAUGCUUGUCUCAAAGAUUAAGCCAUGCAUGUCUAAGUUACAAACUUUUUUACACAGUGAAACCGCGAAUGGCUCAUUAAAUCAGUUAUGGUUUAUUAGAUGGUGCUAUCCUACUUGGAUAACUGUGGUAAUUCUAGAGCUAAUACAUGCGACAAAGCUCUGACCCUCGUUGGAAAGAGCGCUUUUAUUAGAUCAAGACCAACCGGUGUCGCUCCUCCCGGGGCUCACCGUCGGAUUGAUGACUCUGGAUAACCAUUGCCGAUCGUAUGGCCCUGUGCCGACGACGCAUCUUUCAAAUGUCUGCCCUAUCAACUUUCGUUGGUAGGUGAUUUGCCUACCAAGGUGUUUACGGGUAACGGGGGAUCAGGGUUCGAUCCCGGAGAGGGAGCAUGAGAAACGGCUACCACAUCCAAGGAAGGCAGCAGGCGCGCAAAUUACCCACUCUUAGCACGAGGAGGUAGUGACGAAAAAUAACAAUACGGGACUCUUUCGAGGCCCCGUAAUUGGAAUGAGUACACUCUAAACCCGUUAACGAGGAUCUAUUGGAGGGCAAGUCUGGUGCCAGCAGCCGCGGUAAUUCCAGCUCCAAAUAGCGUAUAUAAAGCUGUUGCAG